UACGUAGGGGGCGAGCGUUGUCCGGAUUUAUUGGGCGUAAAGAGUUCGUAGGCGGUUUGUUAAGUCUGAUGUUAAAGAUCGGGGCUCAACCUCGGGAGUGCAUUGGAUACUGGCAGACUUGAGUGUGGUAGAGGCGAGUGGAAUUCCCAGUGUAGCGGUGAAAUGCGUAGAUAUUGGGAAGAACACCGGUGGCGCAAGCGACUCGCUGGGCCAUUACUGACACUGAGGAACGAAAGCUAGGGGAGCGAAUGGG
rnacentral:rRNA from 1 species